rnacentral:rRNA from 1 species
GACGAACGCUGGCGGCGUGCUUAACACAUGCAAGUCGAACGGGCCUGUCUUCUUUUUUGGGGGUGGGUUGAGUGGCGAACGGGUGAGUAUCACGUGAGUAACCUGCCCUUCGGUCCUGGAUAACCGCUUGAAAGGGCGGCUAAUACGGGGUGGUCCGGUUGGUCCGCAUGGGCUGGUCGGGAUAGAUUCACUGUUUUUGGUGUUUCGGCGGGGGAUGGGCUCGCGGCCUAUCAGCUUGUUGGUGGGGUGAUGGCCUACCAAGGCGGUGACGGGUAGCCGGCCUGAGAGGGUGGGCGGCCACACUGGGACUGAGAUACGGCCCAGACUCCUGCGGGAGGCAGCAGUGGGGGGUAUUGCACGAUGGGCGGAAGCCUGAUGCAGCGACGUCGCGUGAGGGAUGGAGGCCUUCGGGUUGUGAACCUCUGUUUCCGGUGGUGAAGGCCCUGUCCGUGUGGUGGGGUUGACGGUAGCCGGGGAUGAAGCGCCGGCUAACUACGUG